rnacentral:rRNA from 1 species
AUACGGAGGGUCCAAGCGUUAUCCGGAAUCAUUGGGUUUAAAGGGUCCGCAGGCGGUCAAUUAAGUCAGAGGUGAAAGCCCAUCGCUCAACGAUGGAACUGCCUUUGAUACUGGUUGACUUGAGUUAUACGGAAGUAGAUAGAAUAAGUAGUGUAGCGGUGAAAUGCAUAGAUAUUACUUAGAAUACCGAUUGCGAAGGCAGUCUACUACGUAUAUACUGACGCUGAGGGACGAAAGCGUGGGUAGCAAACGGGAUUAGAUACCCUAGUAGUCC